rnacentral:rRNA from 1 species
GAUGAACGCUAGCGGCAGGCUUAAUACAUGCAAGUCGUGGGGCAGCAUGUCCCGCAGCAAUGCGGGAUGAUGGCGACCGGCAAACGGGUGCGGAACACGUACACAACCUUCCUUUAAGUGGGGAAUAGCCCAGGGAAACUUGGAUUAAUACCCCGUAAUAUAUAGAAGCGGCAUCGCUUUUAUAUUAUAGCAGCAAUGCGCUUGAAGAUGGGUGUGCGGCUGAUUAGGUAGUUGGCGGGGUAAUGGCCCACCAAGCCGACGAUCAGUAACUGGUGUGAGAGCACGACCAGUCACACGGGCACUGAGACACGGGCCCGACUCCUACGGGAGGCAGCAGUAAGGAAUAUUGGUCAAUGGACGCAAGUCUGAACCAGCCAUGCCGCGUGGAGGAUGAAGGUCCUCUGGAUUGUAAACUUCUUUUAUCUGGGAAGAAAUCCAUUUUUUCUAAAAUGGUUGACGGUACCAGAUGAAUAAGCACCGGCUAACUCCGUGCCAGCCGCCGCAGUAACAC